GUCUUGGUAGCUCAGUUGGUAGAGCAAUUGACUCUUAAUCAAUGGGUCCAGGGUUCGAGUCCCUGCCAGGACACCA
rnacentral:tRNA from 1 species